AAACGACUCUCGGCAACGGAUAUCUCGGCUCACGCAUCGAUGAAGAACGUAGCAAAAUGCGAUACUUGGUGUGAAUUGCAGAAUCCCGUGAACCAUCGAGUUUUUGAACGCAAGUUGCGCCCGAAGCCUUUCGGCCGAGGGCACGUCUGCCUGGGCGUCACACA
rnacentral:rRNA from 1 species